rnacentral:sRNA from 1 species
AGCAGCCGCGGUAAUUCCAGCUCCAAUAGCGUAUAUUAAAGUUGUUGCAGUUAAAAAGCUCGUAGUUGAAUUUCGGGAUCAAUAUUUCGGUCAUGCCGUUGGUAUGCACUGUUAUCAUUGAUUUCUCACCUUCUAAAGAACCGUAAUGCCAUUAAUUUGGUGUUACGGGGAAUUAGGACUGUUACCUUGAAAAAAUUAGAGUGUUUAAAGCAGGCUCACGCUUGAAUACAUUAGCAUGGAAUAAUGAAAUAGGACAUCCGAUUCUAUUUUGUUGGUUUCUAGGAUCGAUGUAAUGAUUAAUAGGGAUAGUUGGGGGCAUUAGUAUUCAAUUGUCAGAGGUGAAAUUCUUGGAUUUAUUGAAGACUAACUACUGCGAAAGCAUUUGCCAAGGAUGUUUUCAUUAAUCAAGAACGAAAGUUAGGGGAUCGAAGACGAUCAGAUACCGUCGUAGUCUUAACCAUAAACUAUGCCGACUAGGGAUCGGAUGAUGUUAAUUUUAAUGA